UACGAAGGGGGCUAGCGUUGCUCGGAAUCACUGGGCGUAAAGGGCGCGUAGGCGGCCAUUCAAGUCGGGGGUGAAAGCCUGUGGCUCAACCACAGAAUUGCCUUCGAUACUGUUUGGCUUGAGUAUGGCAGAGGUCAGUGGAACUGCGAGUGUAGAGGUGAAAUUCGUAGAUAUUCGCAAGAACACCAGUGGCGAAGGCGGCUGACUGGGCCAUUACUGACGCUGAGGCGCGAAAGCGUGGGGAGCAAACAGG
rnacentral:rRNA from 2 species